GCCCCCGUCGUCUAACGGUUAGGACACUGCCCCUUCAAGGCAGGAACGCGGGUUCGAUUCCCGCCGGGGGUACCA
rnacentral:tRNA from 1 species